rnacentral:rRNA from 1 species
AACGAACGCUGGCGGCAGGCCUAACACAUGCAAGUCGAGCGAGCAUUUCGGUGCUAGCGGCGGACGGGUGAGUAACGCGUGGGAACGUGCCCUUUUCUGCGGAAUAGUCCUGGGAAACUGGGGGUAAUACCGCAUACGCCCUUUCGGGGAAAGAUUUAUCGGAGAAGGAUCGGCCCGCGUUGGAUUAGGUAGUUGGUGGGGUAAUGGCCCACCAAGCCGACGAUCCAUAGCUGGUUUGAGAGGAUGAUCAGCCACACUGGAACUGAGACACGGCCCAGACUCCUACGGGAGGCAGCAGUGGGGAAUCUUAGACAAUGGGGGCAACCCUGAUCUAGCCAUGCCGCGUGAGUGAUGAAGGCCUUAGGGUUGUAAAGCUCAUUCAGCUGGGAAGAUAAUGACGGUACCAGCAGAAGAAGCCCCGGCUAACUCCGUG